GCGAACAGGAUUAGAUACCCUGGUAGUCCACGCUGUAAACGAUGUCGAUUUGGAGGUUGUGCCCUUGAGGCGUGGCUUCCGGAGCUAACGCGUUAAAUCGACCGCCUGGGGAGUACGGCCGCAAGGUUAAAACUCAAAUGAAUUGACGGGGGCCCGCACAAGCGGUGGAGCAUGUGGUUUAAUUCGAUGCAACGCGAAGAACCUUACCUACUCUUGACAUCCAGAGAACUUAGCAGAGAUGCUUUGGUGCCUUCGGGAACUCUGAGACAGGUGCUGCAUGGCUGUCGUCAGCUCGUGUUGUGAAAUGUUGGGUUAAGUCCCGCAACGAGCGCAACCCUUAUCCUUUGUUGCCAGCGGUUCGGCCGGGAACUCAAAGGAGACUGCCAGUGAUAAACUGGAGGAAGGUGGGGAUGACGUCAAGUCAUCAUGGCCCUUACGAGUAGGGCUACACACGUGCUACAAUGGCAUAUACAAAGAGAAGCGACCUCGCGAGAGCAAGCGGACCUCAUAAAGUAUGUCGUAGUCCGGAUUGGAGUCUGCAACUCGACUCCAUGAAGUCGGAAUCGCUAGUAAUCGUAGAUCAGAAUGCUACGGUGAAUACGUUCCCGGGCCUUGUACACACCGCCCGUCACACCAUGGGAGUGGGUUGCAAAAGAAGUAGGUAGCUUAACCUUCGGGAGGGCGCUUACCACUUUGUGAUUCAUGACUGGG
rnacentral:rRNA from 1 species